AGAAAGAGCCGCAGCACUAGCGCUGGGAUCCAGGCCCAAACCCCCUCCUCCCACCCCUGCCUGCCUGCCCGCCUGCCCGCCCUGCUUCGGGUGCGCGGUGUCGCCAUUCCGGAGGGUGCUCUGCGCGAUUUGGACGGAGCUGGUUUCCAUGCGCGCUCGCUUGCCUUGGUCCGAGAAUCUGGCGAGCUCUGCGUUGUGCGCGAUGCUGCUGUUGCCAGUGUCGUAUCGUGGGUUUGCGACCGGGGUGGCUUCUGAACGUCCGGGGAUGUGUGCUGUUCUGUCGCUGCAGGUGGGUUUGCGCUUGCGCGCUUUGCAAUGAGAGAAUGAGCUCUGGGUGGCGAGCGGGUGGUGCCGGAGGAGUGUGAUGGUUGUUGGGAGGGCGGUGAUAUGAUUGGGUGCGAGGGAGGGCGGGGUUGUUCGACGCGUUAAAUUUGCAGGCCUGGGGCUCGGGUGUGAUCGGUGAGGAGUGGCACGUGCCCCUAUUGGGCAAGUUUGUGAGCAGCUUGGGCGAGGGUGGAGGGUGGAUGCGAGAACGUUUGGAGGAGUAGUGGCACGAGGUUGGUGGUGGUGGUGUUUUGGGGGAGACCCGGCGGAGGUGCGAAUGGCGGAAGCAGAGGUGGUGGGCGGAGGCGCAGGUGCAGCAUGAGACGGUGGUGGGGAGAAUGGUAGAGCUUGGAAUGCGGUUGACAUGGGCGAGGCGGUGGGGUCGGAGGGGUAAUGCAGGGGGGUGGUGUCUAUGUGGGGAGAUGUGUGGACAAAGGCAGCGCACGGUUGUAGUAGGGCGAGGUGUGCGUGGUGCGUUGUAGCGGUGUGCAUGGAGUGGGGUUGUCGGGAGCUUCCGAGCAUUGCCAUCUGAAGUCGGGGUGGUGGUAUUCGUAAGUGGGGUGGUGUUGCGGUUUGCGUGGAUGUGGCGCUGAGGAGCAGGCGGGGGUUGGGGUUGGGGUUGGGCUAAUGAAGGAGCGCGUGGAAGUGGGGCGGAUUCGGGAGUGACGAGGAGUCCCGCGCGCGAUUUGGGGGGUGCAGAUGUGUGCAUGAGGGAGGUAAUGCGACGACAGGGUGCAGGGAGGAGGUAUUGAGGAGAAUCCGGUUGCAGUGCAGGGCGGUGCGGUUGCGGGGUUGCGACAGGAGGUGUUGGUUUUUGGGGUGUUGAGCUGGACAGGCAUGUGUUGGGGAGGGCGGGGGUGAAGAAGCACGGCGAGGGUCGCGGGUGAUCAG
rnacentral:lncRNA from 1 species